rnacentral:rRNA from 1 species
AUUGAACGCUGGCGGCAGGCCUAACACAUGCAAGUCGAGCGGAUGACGGGAGCUUGCUCCUUGAUUCAGCGGCGGACGGGUGAGUAAUGCCUAGGAAUCUGCCUGGUAGUGGGGGACAACGUUUCGAAGGGAACGCUAAUACCGCAUACGGCCUACGGGAGAAAGCAGGGGACCUUCGGGCCUUGCGCUAUCAGAUGAGCCUAGGUCGGAUUAGCUAGUUGGUGGGGUAAUGGCUCACCAAGGCGACGAUCCGUAACUGGUCUGAGAGGAUGAUCAGUCACACUGGAACUGAGACACGGUCCAGACUCCUACGGGAGGCAGCAGUGGGGAAUAUUGGACAAUGGGCGAAAGCCUGAUCCAGCCAUGCCGCGUGUGUGAAGAAGGUCUUCGGAUUGUAAAGCACUUUAAGUUGGGAGGAAGGGCAGUAAGUUAAUACCUUGCUGUUUUGACGUUACCGACAGAAUAAGCACCGGCUAACUCUGUGCCAGCCGCCGCCGUAA